UGAUCUUAGACUUGGGAGCAAUGACAGUUAAGGUUAUGGGUGUCAUGGAACCCAAUUAAACGGGCUACCUGUUGAGUGGUUCUAGUGACCACAAUGUUUGUUUAUGGAUGUGUUUGGGCUUUGGAUUGCCUAACAGUAAAUUUCUUGAUGCUAGACAUAUAUAUGAGGUAAUUCCUUUUUUUACUAACAUUCUUAAUGGUGUUGUUAUUUCUUGCUUAGUUGCAAUAUGCUAAAUGCUAAUCAGAGUUGUGCAUAAAAGAAUUUAAUUUAGGCCACAUGAUAAGCUGAAUAGCUUAAGAUCUUUGAAUUCAUGAAAGACGGGAAGGUGUUCUGCAGGGGACGUAACAAGUAUGGUCAGGCUAAGGAACUUGCUUGGUUGGUGGGCUAAUGAGGCUACCAUGUUUUCUUGGAUGACUAUUCUUGAACCCACAAGAGUUAAUGAAGGGCUACAUGGCUACUGAUUCUAACAUUGAAUAAUAUUAGAGGAAUGCAAGAUCCAGUUGUUGGCACAAUGUCAAGUUGUUGCAGGUGAGGUAAGUAGACAUGCUUGAUGGUUUUACAGUAGCCAAAUCUGAGAUGCUAAAGGAUGAAGUCAUAUCUGAUGGAAAUGGCAUUGAACUUGUUUGAUGACCAUGAAGAUUGUAGCAGUUCAUGAACACAAUGAAGUUUCGAGUUUUUAUUUUUAUUUUAACAUGGGUUAAUGUUGUGAUUUUAAUGUUUAAAUGUAGACUUAAUUUGACAUUUAUUAGACACUUGU
rnacentral:lncRNA from 1 species